GCACAAGCUGCCAGAUUGGGUAUUGAUGGUUAAGUUAAGUUGAAUAAGUGAUUUUGAUGAAACUAAGAUUAUUUUGAGAUAUGAUAUGAAGUUGUUGAAUUAUUAUAUGAUUGUGGAAUAUUUUUUUGAGAAAUAUAUAUGUGGAUUUUAGUUGGAUUUUUGGUGUAAGUAUAUUUUAAUGAUUAAGGAAAUUAUGGAAUUGAGUAUUAUUUUUGAUAUUAUAAUUUUUAUAGAGCUAUAAGUUGGUUAAUUGAAAAUAUUGAUAUGAUUAAUGGCUUGUGGAUUUGAGAUUUAUGACGGAGAGUUUAGUCCAAUUUAAAUGGAAAUGCUGUUAAAUUUUAUCAGAUUUUUAAUUAGAAAAGUCGAAGUUUAUGGUUGAUUUUGAUUGAUUAUUGUUAUGGUUUUAGGAGGAGCUUUUGAUUAUGGUUU
rnacentral:misc_RNA from 1 species